UACAAUUUAGUAUAUGAUGUACAUAGAUUUUUGAUGUUUAAGGGGAUAGUUUAAUUCUGUCAAUUGUAA
rnacentral:tRNA from 1 species